rnacentral:rRNA from 1 species
GAUGAACGCUGGCGGCGUGCCUAAUACAUGCAAGUCGAGCGAAUGGAUUAAGAGCUUGCUCUUAUGAAGUUAGCGGCGGACGGGUGAGUAACACGUGGGUAACCUGCCCAUAAGACUGGGAUAACUCCGGGAAACCGGGGCUAAUACCGGAUAAUAUUUUGAACUGCAUGGUUCAAAAUUGAAAGGCGGCUUCGGCUGUCACUUAUGGAUGGACCCGCGUCGCAUUAGCUAGUUGGUGAGGUAACGGCUCACCAAGGCAACGAUGCGUAGCCGACCUGAGAGGGUGAUCGGCCACACUGGGACUGAGACACGGCCCAGACUCCCACGGGAGGCGGCAGUAGGGAAUCUUCCGCAAUGGACGAAAGUCUGACGGAGCAACGCCGCGUGAGUGAUGAAGGCUUUCGGGUCGUAAAACUCUGUUGUUAGGGAAGAACAAGCGCUAGUUGAAUAAGCUGGCACCUUGACGGUACCUAACCAGAAAGCCACGGCUAACUACGUGCCAGCCGCCGCCGUAA